rnacentral:misc_RNA from 1 species
AAGUCGUAACAAGGUUUCCGUAGGUGAACCUGCGGAAGGAUCAAUAAUGAUUGGCGCCCGUGCAGGGCUGCUUCUCACAUCCUCACCCUGUGAAACGGUGUUUACUACUCUUAGUGAGCAUGUAAACUUUUAAACAAGAAAAAA